UACGGAGGGUGCGAGCGUUGUCCGGAAUCAUUGGGCGUAAAGCGCACGUAGGCGGCUUCGCAAGUCGGAUGUGAAAUCCCUCGGCUCAACCGAGGACGUGCAUCCGAAACUGCGGAGCUUGAGUACUGAAGAGGAUCGCGGAAUUCCCGGUGUAGAGGUGAAAUUCGUAGAUAUCUGGAGGAACACCGGUGGCGAAGGCGGCUACCUGGCCCAACAUUGACGCUGAGACCCGAAAGCAUGGGGAUCAAACAGGA
rnacentral:rRNA from 1 species